GAUGAACGCUGGCGGCGUGCCUAAUACAUGCAAGUCGAGCGAACAGAUGAGGAGCUUGCUCCUCCGACGUUAGCGGAGGACGGGUGAGUAACGCGUGGAUAACCUACCUAUAAGACUGGGAUAACUUCGGGAAACCGGAGCUAAUACCGGAUAAUAUAUUGAACCGCAUGGUUCAAUAGUGAAAGACGGUUUUGCUGUCACUUAUAGAUGGAUCCGCGCCGCAUUAGCUAGUUGGUAAGGUAACGGCUUACCAAGGCAACGAUGCGUAGCCGACCUGAGAGGGUGAUAGGCCACACUGGAACUGAGACACGGUCCAGACGCCUACGAGAGGCAGCAGUAGGGAAUCUUCCGCAAUGGGCGAGAGCCUGACGGAGCAACGCCGCGUGAGUGAUGAAGGUCUUCGGAUCGUAAAACUCUGUUAUUAGGGAAGAACAAAUGUGUAAGGAACUAUGCACGUCUUGACGGUACCGAGUCAGAAAGCCACGGCUAACUACGUG
rnacentral:rRNA from 1 species